GCCAGGCCUGGUGGCGCAUGCCUGUAAUCCAGGCUACUUGGGAGGCUGAGGUAGGAGAAUUGCUUGAACCCGGGAGGCAGAGGUUGCAGUGAGCCGAGAUCACGCCACUGCACUCCAGCCUGGGUGACAGAGCAAGACUCUGUCUCAA
rnacentral:SRP_RNA from 1 species